GGGACCCGGGGAGAGAUGUAAG
rnacentral:miRNA from 1 species